rnacentral:rRNA from 1 species
GACGAACGCUGGCGGCGUGCUUAACACAUGCAAGUCGAACGGAAAGGCCCUGCUUUUGUGGGGUGCUCGAGUGGCGAACGGGUGAGUAACACGUGAGUAACCUGCCCUUGACUUUGGGAUAACUUCAGGAAACUGGGGCUAAUACCGGAUAGGAGCUCCUGCUGCAUGGUGGGGGUUGGAAAGUUUCGGCGGUUGGGGAUGGACUCGCGGCUUAUCAGCUUGUUGGUGGGGUGGUGGCUUACCAAGGCUUUGACGGGUAGCCGGCCUGAGAGGGUGACCGGCCACAUUGGGACUGAGAUACGGCCCAGACUCCUACGGGAGGCAGCAGUGGGGAAUAUUGCACAAUGGGCGGAAGCCUGAUGCAGCAACGCCGCGUGCGGGAUGACGGCCUUCAGGUUGUAACCCGCUUUCGCCUGUGACGAAGCGUGAGUGACGGUAAUGGGUAAAGAAGCACCGGCUAACUACGUG